AUUGAACGCUGGCGGCAGGCCUAACACAUGCAAGUAGAGCGAGCGGCGGACAGGGGAGUAAUAUCUGGGGAACUGCCCGUGAGAGGGGGAGAACUCCUGGGAACGGUAGAGAAUACCGCAUACCAUCAGAUGUGCACAGAUGGGGUUAGCUAGUGUGUGGGGUAACGGCUCACCUAGGCGACGAUCCCUAGCUGGUCUGAGAGGAUGACCAGCCACACUGGAACUGAGACACGGUCCAGACUCCUACGGGAGGCAGCAGUGGGGAAUAUUGCACAAUGGGCGCAAGCCUGAUGCAGCCAUGCCGCGUGUGUGAAGAAGGCCUUCGGGUUGUAAAGCACUUUCAGCGUGGAGGCGUUACCCGCAGAAGAAGCACCGGCUAACUCCGUGCCAGCAGCCGCGGUAAUAC
rnacentral:rRNA from 1 species